rnacentral:tRNA from 1 species
AGCUGGAUAGAGCAACGCCCUUCUAAGGCGUGGGUCUUGCGUUCGAAUCGCAACGGAA